rnacentral:rRNA from 1 species
AGCUACAGGCUUAACACAUGCAAGUCGAGGGGCAGCAUGGUCUUAGCUUGCUAAGGCUGAUGGCGACCGGCGCACGGGUGAGUAACACGUAUCCAACCUGCCGUCUACUCUUGGCCAGCCUUCUGAAAGGAAGAUUAAUCCAGGAUGGGAUCAUGAGUUCACAUGUCCGCAUGAUUAAAGGUAUUUUCCGGUAGACGAUGGGGAUGCGUUCCAUUAGAUAGUAGGCGGGGUAACGGCCCACCUAGUCAACGAUGGAUAGGGGUUCUGAGAGGAAGGUCCCCCACAUUGGAACUGAGACACGGUCCAAACUCCUACGGGAGGCAGCAGUGAGGAAUAUUGGUCAAUGGGCGAUGGCCUGAACCAGCCAAGUAGCGUGAAGGAUGACGG